rnacentral:lncRNA from 1 species
UCAUCUUGGAGCUACGUAAGCAUAUUAUGUCAUUUAGGAGAGAACUUCGCUAAGUAUAGUUCAUUUUUUAUUAAGUAGGCUAUUUUGGAGCUAACUAAGCUAAUUGUGUCAUUUAGGUGGAAGCCAAGCUAACUAUAGGUCAUUCUAGAGCUAACUUGGGUUAAAUAUGUCAUUUUGGAGCUUACUAUGCUUAUUAAGCCAUUUUGGGGUUGGCUAAGCUAAUUAUAGGGCAUUUAAUAGCUAAGUUAGGGGCAAUAGAUCAUCUUGGAGCUAUGUAAGCCUUAUUUUAUCAUUUUGGAGAGAACUUAGCUAAGUAUAAGUCAUUUUUUUAUUAAAUAGGCAAUUUUGAAGCUAGCUAAACUAAUUAUGUCAUUUAGUUGGAAGGCUAACUAACUAUAGGUCAUUCUUGAGCCAACUUGGGUAAAAUAGGUCAUUUUGGAGCUAACUAUGCUUAUUAAGCCAUUUUGGAGCUAGCUAAGCUAAUUAUAGGCCAUUUAAUAGCUAACUUAAGGGGAAUAGGUCAUCUUGAAGCUACGUAAGCCUUAUUAUGUCAUUUCGGAAAGCACUUAGCUAAGUAUAAGUCAUUUUUUAUUAACUAGGCCAUUUUGGAGAUAACUAAGCAGAUUAUGUCAUUUAGGACGAAACGAAGCUAAGUAUAUGUCAUUUUGGCGCUACUUAGGUAAAAAUAGGUAAUUUUUAUCUAAAUAUGAUUAUUAAGCCAUUUUGGAGCUAUCUAAGCUAAUUAUAGGCCAUUUAUUAGCUAAGUUAGGGGGAAUAUGUCAUCUUGGAGCUACGUAAGCAUAUUAUGUCAUUUAGAAGAGAACUUAGCUAAAUAUAGGUCAUUUUGUUUAUUAAAUAGGCCAUUUUGGAGCUAACUAAGCUAAUUAUGUCAUUUACGUGGAAGCUAAGCUAACUAUAGGUCAUUCUAGAGCUAACUUGGGUUAAAUAUGUCAUUUUGGACAUAAUUAUGCUUAUUAAGCCAUUUUGGAUCUAGCUAAGCUAAUUAUAGGCCAUUUAAUAGCUAAGUUAGGGGGAAUAGGCCAUAUUGGAGCUACGUAAGCAUAUUAUGUCAUUUAGGAGAGAACGUAGCUAAGUAUAGGUCAUUUUUUUAUUAAAUAGGCCAUUUUGAAGAUAACUAAGCUAAUUAUACCAUUUAGAUGGAAGCCAAGCUGACUAUAGGUCAUUCUAGAGCUAACUUGGGUUAAAUAUGUCAUUUUGGAGCCAACUAUGCUUAUUAAGCCAUUUUGGCCAUUUAAUAGCUAAGUUAGGGGGGAUAGGUUAUCUUGGAGCUACGNNNNNNNNNNCAGCCUAAUUAUGUCAUUUAGGAGAGAACUUAUCUAAGUAUAGAUCAUUUUUAUUAAAUAUGCAAUUUUGGAGCUAACUAAGCUAAUUAUGUUAUUUAGGUGGAAGCCUAGCUAACUAUAGGUCAUUUCGGUUCUAACUUUGGUAAAAUAGGUCAUUUUUGAGCUAACUAUGCUUAUUAAGACAUUUUGGAGCUAGUUAAGCUAAUUCUAUGCCAUUUAAUAGCUAAGUUAGGGGAGUAUGUCAUCUUGGAGAUACCUAAGCAUAUUAUGUCAUAUAGGAGAGAACUUAGCUAAGUAUAGGUCAUUUUUAUUAAAUAUGCCAUUUUGGAGCUAACUAAGGUAAUUAUGUCAUUUAGGUGGAAGCCAAGCUAACUAUAGGUCUUUCUCGAGCUAACUUGGGUUAAAUAUGUCAUUUUGGAGCUAACUAUGCUUAUUAAGCCAUUUUGGAGCUAGCUAAGCUAAUUAUAGGCCAUUUUAUAGCUAAGUUAGGGGGAAUAGGUCAUCUUGGAGCUACGUAAGCAUAUUAUUUCAUUUAGGAGAGAACUUGCCUAAGUAUAGGUCUUUUUUUAUUAAAUAGGACAUUUUGGAGCUAACUAAGCUAAUUAUGUCAUUUGGGACGAAACGAAGCUAAGUAUAUGUCAUUUUGGAGCUACUUAGGUACAAAUGGGUCAUUUUUGAGCUAACUAUGCUUAUUAAGACAUUUAGGAGCUAGUUAAGCUAAUUAUAGGCCAUUUAAUAGCUAAGUUAGGGGGAGUAUGUUAUCAUGGAGCUAUGUAAGCCUUAUUUUGUCACUUAGAGAGAACUUAGCUAAGUAUAUAUCAUUUUUUAUUAAAUAGGCAUUUUGGAGCUAACUAAGCUAAUUAUGUCAUUUAGGACGAAAGGAAGCUAAGUAUAUGUCAUUUUGUAGCUACUUAGGUAAAAAUGGGUCAUUUUUUAGCUAACUAUGCUUAUUAAGACAUUUUGGAGCUAGUUAAGCUAAUUAUAGGCCAUUUAAUAGCUAAGUUAGGGGAGUAUGUCAUCCUCGAGCUACGUAAGCAUAUUAUGUCAUUUAGGAGAGAACUUAGCUAAGUAUAGGUUAUUUUUUAUUAAAUAUGCCAUUUUGGAGCUAACUUAGCUAAUUAUGUCAUUUAGGUGGAAGCCAAGCUAAUUAUAGGUCAUUCUAUAGCUAACUUGGAUUAAAUAUGUCAUUUUGGAGCUAACUAUGCUUAUUAACCCAUUUUGGAGUUAGCUAAGCUAAUUAUAGGCCAUUUAAUAGCUAAGUUAGGAGAAUGGGUCAUCUUCGAGCUAUGUAAGCCAUAUUAUGUCAUUUAGGAGAGAACUUAGCUAAGUAUAGGUGAUUUUUAUUAAAUAGGCAAUUUUGGAGCUAACUAAGCUAAUUAUUUCAUUUAUGUGGAAGCCUUGCUAACUAUAGGUCAUUUCGCACAUAACUUGGGUAAAAUAGGUCAUUUUGGAGCUAACUCUGCUUAUUAAGCCAUUUUGGAGCUAGCUAAGCUAAUUAUAGGCCAUUUAAUAGCUAAGUUAGGGGGAAUAGGUCCUCUCGGAGCUACGUAAGCAUAUUAUGUCAUUUAGGUGGGAGUCAAGCUAACCAUAGGUCAUUCUAGAGAUAACUUGGGUUAAAUAUGUCAUUUCGGAGAUAACUAUGCUUACUAAUCCAUUUUGGAUCUAGCUAAGCUAAUUAUAGGGCAUUUAAUAGCUAAAUUAGGAGGAAUAGGUCAUCUUGGAGCUACGUAAACAUAUUAUGUCAUUN